UGGAUCCUACGGGGCGCAGCAGUGGGGAAUAUUGGGCAAUGGGCGCAAGCCUGACCCAGCAACGCCGCGUGAAGGAAGAAGGCUUUCGGGUUGUAAACUUCUUUUGUCAGGGACGAAGCAAGUGACGGUACCUGACGAAUAAGCCACGGCUAACUACGUGCCAGCAGCCGCGGUAAUACGUAGGUGGCAAGCGUUAUCCGGAUUUACUGGGUGUAAAGGGAGCGUAGACGGCGGCGCAAGUCCGGAGUGAAAGCCCACGGCCCAACCGUGGGACUGCUCUGGAAACUGUGCGGCUUGAGUGCGGG
rnacentral:rRNA from 1 species